GACGAACGCUGGCGGCGUGCCUAAUACAUGCAAGUAGAACGCACAGUUUAUACCGUAGCUUGCUACACCAUAGACUGUGAGUUGCGAACGGGUGAGUAACGCGUAGGUAACCUGCCUGGUAGCGGGGGAUAACUAUUGGAAACGAUAGCUAAUACCGCAUAAUAUUGAUUAUUGCAUGAUAAUUGAUUGAAAGAUGCUAUUGCAUCACUACCUGAUGGAUCUGCGUUGUAUUAGCUAGUAGGUGAGGUAACGGCUCCCCUAGGCGACGAUACAUAGCCGACCUGAGAGGGUGGUCGGCCACACUGGGACGGAGACACGGCCCAGCGUCCUACGGGAGGCGGCAGUAGGGAAUCUUCGGCAAUGGGCGAAAGUCUGACCGAGCAACGCCGCGGGAGUGAAGAAGGGUGUCGGAUCGUAAAGCUCUGUUGUCAGAGAAGAACGGGUGUGAGAGUGGAAAGUUCACAGUGUGACGGUAUCUGACCAGAAAGCGACGGCUAACUACGUG
rnacentral:rRNA from 1 species